GAGUUUGAUCAUGGCUCAGAUUGAACGCUGGCGGCAUGCCUAACACAUGCAAGUCGAACGGCAGCACUGGGAGCUUGCUCCCUGGUGGCGAGUGGCGGACGGGUGAGUAACGCGUAGGAAUCUGCCUCAUAGCGGGGGACAACUCGGGGAAACUCGAGCUAAUACCGCAUACUACUCGAGAGAGGAAAGCAGGGGACCUUCGGGCCUUGCACUAUGAGAUGAGCCUGCGUUGGAUUAGCUAGUUGGUAGGGUAAAGGCCUACCAAGGCGACGAUCCAUAACUGGUUUGAGAGGAUGACCAGUCACACUGGGACUGAGACACGGCCCAGACUCCUACGGGGAGGACAGCAGUGGGGAAUAUUGGACAAUGGGGGAAACCCUGAUCCAGCAAUGCCGCGUGUGUGAAG
rnacentral:rRNA from 1 species